CAUACGACUCUCGGCAACGGAUAUCUCGGCUCUCGCAUCGAUGAAGAACGUAGCGAAAUGCGAUACUUGGUGUGAAUUGCAGAAUCCCGUGAACCAUCGAGUCUUUGAACGCAAGUUGCGCCCGAGGCCUUUCGGUCGAGGGCAGGCCUGCCUGGGCGUCACGC
rnacentral:rRNA from 1 species